UUCAGCACAUGUCACCUUCUGGCCUUACGACUUACUUCCCCUUUGUUUCAAACUAAUUUUCUCUCUCUCCUCCGCCCCCCUUCUCUGAUUUCUCUUCUCCUCCCUGGACCUCGAUGGCAGCCGCUCACCCAUUCAUUCUCCCCUUUCUUUCCUAUUCUCUCUCCUCUUCUAGCGCACUCUCCUUCUGUUCUUGGGUAGAGAUCGAGUCAAGUUCGUGGUUGAUUAAAGUAUCAACCACCAUUUCUGCGCGCAGUCUUCUAGCUCGUACCGAUUUUUCCCUUUUGGGGGCUGAUUUAAGGUCAUGAAAUGAGGCGAUUUCGGUAACUUAGAAUUUGGUUUUGAUCAAACAGAAGAAUAAGGUUAGAUUUUAUGGUUGUCAUGAUGCGUGGAAGCUUUUGUAUUACCUGUCUCUGCUAAGUUUAGUUGUAAACCAGAAAAUCCCAGAAUCUCUAUUGCUAUCUGAACACCUGAGGAUUCUGAAUUGGGUGUAAUACUGUAAAUUGGACCAAUGUUUGUGAAGAACUAGCUGAAGGACCAAUUUUCUUCCAAGAAACCAGAGCUCCUGAAUGGAAUCAUAGGCUUUAUGGAAGUCCACGUGGAGCAUGCAUCUUGGUGACACAUUUUUCCUAAUUAAAUACUUGAUCUAGAUAAAAAAGAACAGAGUACGUCAAUAUUGAUAAACUUCCUAGCAAUAAAAUAUGUCACCCAACUUUAAGGGAAUCAAUGACCUGACACAUUCUACAACCCAAAUUCUCCAAUCAAGUUCAUAUAAAAAUAUAAAAUAUUGCAGCAAAGGAGUGGCUUAAAGGCUUGUUUCCUAAUUGUUGUAGAAAUAUCAAUAUUAGAAAUCUGGUUCAAGGUUAUACAAUUUACAGAGUACUUGUUUGCACUUUGCA